CGCGUCUGAUUAGCUAGUUGGUAGGGUAAAGGCCUACCAAGGCGACGAUCAGUAGCCGGCCUGAGAGGGCGGACGGCCACAUUGGAACUGAGAUACGGUCCAAACUCCUACGGGAGGCAGCAGUUGGGAAUAUUGCACAAUGGGGGAAACCCUGAUGCAGCAAUGCCGCGUGAAGGAUGAAGGGCUUCGGCUUGUAAACUUCUAUCGACGGGGAAGAAAAAAAUGACGGUACCUGACUAAGAAGCCCCGGCUAACUACGUGCCAGCAGCCGCGGUAAUACGUAGGGGGCAAGCGUUAUCCGGAAUUACUGGGUGUAAAGGGUGCGUAGGCGGUAAUGUAAGUCAGGUGUGAAAGCCCGAAGCUCAACUUCGGGAUUGCACUUGAAACUACAUAACUAGAGUACAGGAGAGGUGAGUGGAAUUCCUAGUGUAGCGGUGAAAUGCGUAGAUAUUAGGAGGAACACCAGUGGCGAAGGCGACUCACUGGACUGUAACUGACGCUGAGGCACGAAAGCGUGGGGAGCGAACAGGAUUAGAUACCCUGGUAGUCCACGCUGUAAACGAUGAAUGCUAGGUGUUGGGUCGUUCGACCCUCGGUGCCACAGCGAAAGCAUUAAGUGAUCCACCUGGGGAGUACGAUCGCAAGGUUGAAACUCAAAGGAAUUGACGGGGGCCCGCACAAGCGGAGGAACAUGUGGUUUAAUUCGAUGAUACGCGAGGAACCUUACCUGGGCUUGAACGGUGAGCGAAAACUGUCGAGAGGCAGUGUCCCUUCGGGCGUACUGAGACAGGUGGUGCAUGGUUGUCGUCAGCUCGUGUCGUGAGAUGUUGGGUUAAGUCCCGCAACGAGCGCAACCCCUACAGCUAGUUGCCAGCACAUAAAGGUGGGAACUCUAGCAGAACUGCCGUUGACAAAACGGAGGAAGGUGGGGAUGACGUCAAAUCAUCAUGCCCCUUAUGUCUUGGGCUACACACGUACUACAAUGGCCUGAACAGAGGGAAGCGAAACUGCGAAGUUAAGCGAACCCCUUAAAACAGGUCCCAGUUCGGAUUGUAGGCUGCAACUCGCCUACAUGAAGUUGGAGUUGCUAGUAAUCGCGAAUCAGAAUGUCGCGGUGAAUGCGUUCCCGGGUCUUGUACACACCGCCCGUCACACCACGAAAGUCGGCAACACCCGAAGCCGGUGACUCAACCCGAAAGGGAGAGAUCCGUCGAAGGUGGGGUUGGUAAUUGGGGUGAAGUCAU
rnacentral:rRNA from 1 species